CGUCAGGUAGCUCAGUGGCCUAGAGCAGUCGCCCGACAAGCGAAAGACCCGGGUUCGAUUCCCAGUCUAGCGA
rfam:Harpegnathos saltator strain R22 G/1 HarSal_1.0_2.contig2129, whole genome shotgun sequence.